AUGUGAAUUCUACUGUCAUCCGUGAAGACUGGUCUUUGGAAAAUGUGACUUUCGAUUUCAUGGAGUAUCUUCAUCUAUUUUAUCAGUUUGCUGAAGAGUUGAAAGUAAGAUCGGAGACUCUUUUAAAUAGUCUGCCUGCGCAAAAGAAACCUAGUUCCUGAGUAACUGCACAAAUUGAUACUGUAGAAUAUGUGAUGUGUAGGAUUUGAGGUUUUUACAGUGGUGAGUAUGAAGAUGGCUGUCUUCUGGGCUGUACCUCUGUGUAGUCUGGUACUUUACCUGAGAUUCAAAAGUCCUUGCCUCAUUGCCCUGAUGAUGGAGGCAGCAAGGAUUUCUGAAACUUUGGUAAUCUUCUACCAAAUUACAUAGCGCUACAACACAGAAGACAACUAUCGUUGCAAGCCAUCACCCAGUGAUGGAGGCGGCAAGGAUCUCUGAAACAUUGGAAAACUUCUACCAGACCACAGGGUGCUACAACCAAGAAGAUGGUCAUCUUUGUGCUGUUUAAAUUUAUUUAUUUAUGUGUUAUUAAAAUGUAUGGAAUAUGAUGUCUAUAUGUAUGUGAAGUGUUUUGUUGAACAUUACUUUCUCAGGUGGAUAUAUUUAAAUGUGCUCACUGAAAUGCCAUAACAGCUCAAAAUCAUAUUUUAUUAAAAAAUACGUUAUUUAUACUUUGUUAUA